CUCGCAAGGUGGCUGGCCCCAGCCACUUCACUCCUAGAUGAAACCCAAGUCACCUGGAAUCCUUGGGGUGACACGGCAUGGAGAAUGAACUCUAUGGCUUCAAGAUGCUCCGUUUUGCCCUGGCUGGAAAAGCUGGUCAGUGUUAUUUGUAAUCAGUGUGGUGUGAGGACCAGCUGCAUCGUCAACUCCCAGGAGCCUGAUGCAACUGGAGCAUCUCAGACCCCGACCCAGACCUACUGAAUCAGAAGCCGCAGUUGAACAAGAUCCCUGGCAGCUUCGCAGGUGCUGUCAUACCUUCUUCGCCUUUAUCAGAGAAAGCCAGGCCCGUAUGAAUAUAGAUUGUGCGAAAGUAGCCUAAGCAACAUAAAAGAAAAAAAGGAUUUAUUUUUCCAAUUAACAAAGGGUAAUGGGCUUCUUCUAAAAAUUCUGCUUGGUGGUGUAUGCCACAUGAGUAAUUUUCCUUCUGCUUACUUCUCCAGAGAGGCUGCACCAGGACUACCCUACCUAAUUACUUUGCUUGCAGCCUGGUUGAGCAGCAACUGCCACAGUACCUACGGCUCCCACCUGGAAGACCAGUGAGCUGUACCAAACCGAGAAAGAGAUCUUGCACACUCAAAGCUGUGCUGGAAUCCUGGCUAUUCUAGUUACCAUGUGACCCUGGGC
rnacentral:lncRNA from 1 species